UAACGAGGAUUCCCCUAGUAACGGCGAGUGAAGCGGGAAGAGCUCAAAUUUGUAAUCUGGCGGUCUCUGGCCGUCCGAGUUGUAGUCUGGAGAAGCGUUUUCCGCGUCGGACCGUGUACAAGUCCCUUGGAACAGGGCGUCAUAGAGGGUGAGAAUCCCGUCUUUGACACGGACUGCCGAUGCUUUGUGAUGCGCUCUCGAAGAGUCGAGUUGUUUGGGAAUGCAGCUCAAAACGGGUGGUAAAUUCCAUCUAAAGCUAAAUAUGGGCGAAAGACCGAUAGCGAACAAGUACCGUGAGGGAAAGAUGAAAAGCACUUUGGAAAGAGAGUUAAACAGUACGUGAAAUUGUUGAAAGGGAAACGCUUGAAGUCAGUCGCGUCUUCCGGGACUCAGCCUUGCCUUUUUGCGCUUGGUGUACUUCCCGGGGUGAUGGGCCAGCAUCGAUUUCGGCCGUCGGAGACAGGCUUUGGGAAUGUGGCACCUUCGGGUGUGUUUAUAGCCCUUUGUCGUAUGCGACGGUUGGGAUCGAGGAUCGCAGCACGCCUUCAUUGGCCGGGGUUCGCCCACGUUAACGUGCUUAGGAUGCUGGCGUAAUGGCUUUAAGCGACCCGUCUUGAAACACGGACCAAGGAGUCUAACAUGCCUGCGAGUGUUUGGGUGGAAAACCCGGACGCGAAAUGAAAGUGAAAGGUCGGGACCUCUGUCGUGGAGGGCACCGACGCCCGGACCAGACCUUUUGUGACGGUUCCGAGGUAGAGCAUGCAUGCUGGGACCCGAAAGAUGGUGAACUAUGCCUGAGUAGGGUGAAGCCAGAGGAAACUCUGGUGGAGGCUCGUAGCGAUUCUGACGUGCAAAUCGAUCGUCGAACUUGGGUAUAGGGCGAA
rnacentral:rRNA from 1 species